GACGAACGCUGGCGGCGUGCUUAACACAUGCAAGUCGAACGGAAAGGCCCUGCUUUUGUGGGGUGCUCGAGUGGCGAACGGGUGAGUAACACGUGAGUAACCUGCCCUUGACUUUGGGAUAACUUCAGGAAACUGGGGCUAAUACCGGAUAGGAGCUCCUGCUGCAUGGUGGGGGUUGGAAAGUUUCGGCGGUUGGGGAUGGACUCGCGGCUUAUCAGCUUGUUGGUGGGGUAGUGGCUUACCAAGGCUUUGACGGGUAGCCGGCCUGGGAGGGUGACCGGCCCCAUUGGGCCUGAGCUACGGCCCAGACUCCUACGGGAGGCAGCAGUGGGGAAUAUUGCACAAUGGGCGGAAGCCUGAUGCAGCAACGCCGCGUGCGGGAUGACGGCCUUCGGGUUGUAAACCGCUUUCGCCUGUGACGAAGCGUGAGUGACGGUAAUGGGUAAAGAAGCACCGGCUAACUACGUG
rnacentral:rRNA from 1 species